GCGGCGGACGGGUGAGUAACACGUGGGCAACCUGCCCGCAAGACCGGGAUAACUCCGGGAAACCGGAGCUAAUACCGGAUAACACCGAAGACCGCAUGGUCUUUGGUUGAAAGGCGGCCUUUGGCUGUCACUUGCGGAUGGGCCCGCGGCGCAUUAGCUAGUUGGUGAGGUAACGGCUCACCAAGGCGACGAUGCGUAGCCGGCCUGAGAGGGUGACCGGCCACACUGGGACUGAGACACGGCCCAGACUCCUACGGGAGGCAGCAGUAGGGAAUCUUCCGCAAUGGGCGAAAGCCUGACGGAGCGACGCCGCGUGAGCGAAGAAGGCCUUCGGGUCGUAAAGCUCUGUUGUGAGGGACGAAGGAGCGCCGUUCGAAGAGGGCGGCGCGGUGACGGUACCUCACGAAGAAGCCCCGGCUAACUACCUGCCAACAGCCGCGGUAAUAC
rnacentral:rRNA from 1 species